rnacentral:rRNA from 1 species
AGACAGCAGCAGCCGCGGGAAUACGAAGGGUGCAAGCGUUACUCGGAAUUACUGGGCGUAAAGCGUGCGUAGGUGGUGGUUUAAGUCCGUUGUGAAAGCCCUGGGCUCAACCUGGGAAUUGCAGUGGAUACUGGGUCACUAGAGUGUGGUAGAGGAUAGUGGAAUUUCCGGUGUAGCAGUGAAAUGCGUAGAGAUCGGAAGGAACAUCUGUGGCGAAGGCGACUAUCUGGGCCAACACUGACACUGAGGCACGAAAGCGUGGGGAGCAAACAGGAUUAGAUACCCCAGUAGUCCCUGUCUCUUAUAC